GACGAACCGUGCGAACGUUGUUCGGAAUCACUGGGCUUAAAGGGCGCGUAGGCGGAUCAGCAAGUCCGGGGUGAAAUCCUCCGGCUUAACCGGAGAAGUGCCUUGGAUACUGCUGGUCUCGAGGGAGGUAGGGGUCAUGGGAACUUCUGGUGGAGCGGUGAAAUGCGUUGAUAUCAGAAGGAACGCCGGUGGCGAAAGCGCAUGACUGGAUCUCUUCUGACGCUGAGGCGCGAAAGCUAGGGGAGCGAACGGG
rnacentral:rRNA from 1 species